rnacentral:rRNA from 1 species
AGUGAACGCUGGCGGCGUGCUUAACACAUGCAAGUCGAACGAGAACGGGUUAUAGCUUGCUAUAAUCGUCAGCUAAGUGGCGCACGGGUGAGUAAUGUAUAGGUAAUAUGCCUCUUACUAAGGGAUAACAAAUGGAAACGUUUGCUAAUACCUUAUACUCCUUAUUAACAUAAGUUAAUAAGGGAAAGAUUUAUUGGUAAGAGAUUAGCCUGUAUUGUAUCAGUUAGUUGGUGGGGUAAUGGCUUACCAAGACUAUGACACAUAACUGGUUUGAGAGGAUGAUCAGUCACACUGGAACUGAGACACGGGCCAGACUCCUACGGGAGGCAGCAGUGGGGAAUAUUGCACAAUGGACGAAAGUCUAAUGCAGCAACGCCGCGUGGAGGAUGACACAUUUCGGUGCGUAAACUCCUUUUAUAUGAGAAGAUAAUGACGGUAUUAUAUGAAUAAGCACCGGCUAACUCCGUGCCAGCAGCCGCAGUAA